CACAAGUACGUCAUCACUCUGCGACACGCUACAUUCCCCGGCCUGUCGACUACACGCCACUUCAAUUAUAGGCUCCCAGGUGUUCCUUUCAUGCAACAUCUGCUUCUUGGAGUCACGAUGACACAGGUGAAGGUGGUCAUUAGGUCUCGAGGCUGCGGGGGCCCUUGGACGCCUCUUUUCCCAUCAUGCACCGCUGUCGUCAAGUGCUGCUUGUUCACACACGUCCUGCCUCUCAGAUGGCGACAUGUCUGCUUGAAGGAGACAAAGAGGACGUGUGCGUACCUGCCUGGCUUCCGUCAACCCAGACCCCCUCCUCGCCAUCAAAGACCCCCCCCCCCUGGGGGCCUGCAGCGCUCCACUGUCUUUAAGCUGUUCCCAUCCGCAGCGGAAGUCCCCGCGACAUUCCGGGAAUUCUGGAAGUCGUCUUCAGCCGCUCACUUAUCUUAUCUCAGAGGGGUGGAGGAGGUGUAACAUGAGUUCAUCAGAAGCUUCAGUGUGGUCGCCAUGGUGACACAAAGGUUGUCUUUAAUUCCGGUGUAGGUCCCACGACAUCCGAUUGGUCUUGAAUGAAUGAAUGAAUGAAAUAAGUGUAUUUCGGUCAUAUAAUCAAUCAAAUCAAAUCAAUCAACCAUUGUAUGUGAUCAGUUUUACAGUACAUGUUAUAUGUGUACAAUAAUGCACAUUUACACACGAAAGAAAAGAAAAAGAAUGACCAAAAAAGGAAUAGGCUGAAGCCAAAGCUUAUAUUUGCCUAUCCUAUACCUUCACAGAAAAUUAGAUUGCCUGGAACAUCAACAUAAAAAAAUAAAUAAAUCAAAAAUCAAUGGGAUGAAAGUAAUUGUGACUAUAUUUUAUAAUUUUCAAUUAUUUCACCUUUCAAUGUUUUCUUAAACCUUACCAAAGAAUUGCAUGUCUUCAGCUCAUCACUGAGCUUGUUCCACCAUUUAACUCCUAAAACUGUAAUACAUUUGUAUUUUAUAUUUGUUCUCGCUUUACCCAUUUCAAAAAUCGAUAUCCCCCGUAAAUUAUAGUUUUCUCCUCUGAAAUGAAAUAGCCUGCGAAUACAAGCUGGAAGGCUGUUGUUCUUUACUCGAAACAUAAUUUCCAUUGUUUUUAAAAACACAAUGUCGGAAAAUUUUAACACAUUUGAACUCAUAAAUAAGGGAUUGGUACGUUCAUAGUAGCAGGCUUUGUGUAUUAUUCUAAUGACCCUUUUUGGAAGUUUUAUGAUUGGGUCUAUGUUUGUUUUAUAAACAUUUCCCCAAAUUUCAACACAAUACGUUAAAUAUGGAAAAAUAAAAGAAUAAUACAACAUAUGUCUUCAUGACAGGUAUGGAGUGAGGGUGGUACUAUCCUCUCAUGCCAGGAUGGGAAUGUACAGGACGGAAUUUAUUAUGGUGGAAUUUUUGUAGGAUUUUGUUUCCUAUCCGAGUACAUCCGAGUUCUAGACGAGAGUCACCAUUUAAAGGCCUACUGAAAUGAGAUGUUCUUAUUUAAACGGGGAUAGCAGGUCCAUUCUAUGUGUCAUACUUGAUCAUUUCGCCAUAUUGCCAUAUUUUUGCUGAAAGGAUUUAGUAGAGAACAUUCAGGAUAAAGUUUGCAACUUUAGGUCGCUAAUAAAAAAGCCUUGCCUGUACAGGAAGUAGCAGACGAUAUGCGCGUGACGUCACGGGUUGUGGAGCUCCUCACAUCUGAACAUUGUUUACAAUCAUGGCCACCAGCAGCGAGAGCGAUUCGGACCGAGAAAGCGACAAUUUCCCCCUUAAUUUGAGCGAGGAUGAAAGAUUUGUGGAUGAGGAAAGUGAGAGUGAAGGACUAGAAGAAGAAGAAAAGACAGAGCAGUGGGAGCGAUUCAGAUGUUAUUAAACACAUUUACUAGGAUAAUUCUGGAAAAUCCCUUAUCUGCUUAUUGUGUUACUAGUGUUUUAGUGAGAUUAUAUAGUCGUACCUGAAAGUCGGAGGGGUGUGGCCAAAGGUGAGGUGACCGCCAGUGUCUCCGAGUGGGGCAACCCUACAGUUAAGACGUUAAAGGCCUACUGAAAUGAGAUGUUCUUAUUUAAACGGGGAUAGCAGCUCCAUUCUAUGUGUCAUACUUGAUCAUUUCGCCAUAUUGCCAUAUUUUUGCUGAAAGGAUUUAGUAGAGAACAUCCACGAUAAUGUUUGCAACUUUAGGUCGCUAAUAAAAAAGCCUUGCCUGUACCGGAAGUAGCAGACGAUGUGCGCGUGACGUCACGGGUUGUGGAGCUCCUCACAUCUGAACAUUGUUUACAAUCAUGGCCACCAGCAGCGAGAGCGAUUCGGACCGAGAAAGCGACAAUUUCCCCAUUAAUUGGAGCGAGGAUGAAAGAUUCGUGGAUGAGGAUAGUGAGAGCAAAGGACUAGAACAUGGUGUCAAAUUUGGCCCGCCAUGUAAUUUCAUUUGGCCCUUGAGGCAAUAUCAAAUUAACACGAGAACUGGCCCGCCGGAAUUAUACAGUGGCUGUGCCGCUGUAACACCGCAUUCACCGCUAAUAUUCAUACUUGCCAACCCUCCCGAUUUUCCCGGGAGACUCCCGAAGUUCAGUGCCCCUCCUGAAAAUCUCCCUGGGCAACCAUUCUCCCGAUUUCCAACCAGACAACAAUAUUGGGGGCCGUGCCUUAAAGGCACUGCCUUUAACGUUCUCUAGAACCUGUCGUCACGUCCGCUUAUCCGCCAAACAAACAGCGUGCCGACCAAGCCUCAUAUUAUAAGCGGCUUCUACACACUCACAAGUGAAUGCCACGCAUACUUGGUCAACAGCCAUACAGGUCACACUUGAGGGUGGCCGUAUAAACAACUUUAACAUUGUUACAAAUAUGCACCACGCUGUGAACCCACACCAAACAAGAAUGACAAACACGUUUUGGGAGAACAUCCGCAUCGUAACACAACAGAACAAAUACCCAGAGCCCCUUGCAGCACUAACUCUUCCGGGACGCUACAAUAAACGCCAACACCUAAAAGGUUAAUUUGUUCAACCUUCAGUUUUAAAUUUUGGCCCACUCUGUGUUUGAGUUUGACACCCCUGGACUAGAAGAAAAAGAAAAAAAAAGACAAGGGCAGACGGAGCGAUUCAGAUGUUAUUAGACACAUUCACUAGGAUAAUUCUGGAAAGUGCCUUAUCUGCUUAUUGUGUUACUAGUGUUUUAGUGAGAUUAAAUAGUCAUACCUGAAAGUUGGAGGGGUGUGGUGACCGCCAGUGUCUCUGAGUGAAGCCACGGAGGAGCCAAGAAAGUCGCAGCUGCCUCUUUGACAACUGCUACGCUCAUGUUUACAGUAAGAGCCAACUUAUUACCACAAUUUUCUCACCGAAACCUGCCGGCGGACAUGUGGUAGAGAAACAUGUUCGCUUGACCGCUCUGUUCCAUAUUAAAGCUUCACAACAAACAAAUAAACACCGGCGGUAUUUGUGUUGCUAAAGGCGGCCGCAAUACACCGCUUUCCACCUACAUCUUUCUUCUUUGACGUCUCCAUUAUUAAUUGAGCAAAUUGCAAAAGAUUCAGCAACACAGAUGUCCAGAAUACUGUGUAAUUAUGCGAUUGAAUCGGAUGACUUUUAGCCGUGAGUGGUCAUCAUUCCGCCAUGUUUUCAACAGGAUACCUCGCUGGAAAUUUAAAAUUGCUAUUUAGUAAACUAAAUAGCAAUUUUGUGUUGCAAUGUUAAUAUUUCAUCAUUGAUAUAUAAACUAUCAGACUGCGUGGUCGCUAGUAGUGGCUUUCAGUAGGCCUUUAAGAUGCAUUUAUGGCUUUCUACAGAUUUUACCUGCACGCC